rnacentral:tRNA from 1 species
GCCUGGGUGGCUCAAUCAGUUAAGCAUCUGACUUUGGCUCAGGUCAUGAUCUCACAGUUUGUGGGUUCAAGUCCUACACUGGGCA